GGGUUUAAAGGGUCCGCAGGCGGGCCUGUAAGUCAGGGGUGAAAUCCGGCAGCUUAACUGUCGAACUGCCUUUGAUACUGCAGGUCUUGAGUGGGAAUGAAGCAGCUGGAAUGUGUGGUGUAGCGGUGAAAUGCAUAGAUAUCACACAGAACACCGAUAGCGAAGGCAGGUUGCUAAUUCUCAACUGACGCUGAGGGACGAAAGCGUGGGGAGCGAACAGGAUUAGAUACCCUGGUAGUCCACGCCGUAAACGAUGGAUACUGUCUGUUGGUUCGUAAGGAUCAGCGGAUAAGCGAAAGUGAUAAGUAUCCCACCUGGGGAGUACGUUCGCAAGAAUGAAACU
rnacentral:rRNA from 1 species